rnacentral:rRNA from 1 species
UUGGAGGGCAAGUCUGGUGCCAGCAGCCGCGGUAAUUCCAGCUCCAAUAGCGUAUAUUAAAGUUGUUGCAGUUAAAAAGCUCGUAGUUGAAUUUCGGGAUCAAUAUAUCGGUCGUGCCAUCGGUACGUACUGGUAUGAUUGGUUUCUCCUUUCUGACGAACCAUGAUGUCAUUAAUUUGGUGUUAUGGGAAGUUAGGACUGUUACUUUGAAAAAAUUAGAGUGUUUAAAGCAGGCUUUAGCUUGAAUACAUUAGCAUGGAAUAAUGAAAUAGGACGUUCGAACCUAUUUUGUUGGUUUCUAGGAUCAACGUAAUGAUUAAUAGGGAUAGUUGGGGGCAUUAGUAUUCAAUUGUCAGAGGUGAAAUUCUUGGAUUUAUUGAAGACUAACUACUGCGAAAGCAUUUGCCAUGGAUGUUUUCAUUAAUCAAGAACGAAAGUUAGGGGAUCGAAGACGAUCAGAUACCGUCGUAGUCUUAACCAUAAACUAUGCCGACUAGGGAUCGGAUGAUGUUAAUUUUUUAAUGACUCAUUCGGCGCCUUACGGGAAAC